UACGGGGGGGAGCAAGCGUUGUUCGGAUUUACUGGGCGUAAAGGGCGCGUAGGCGGCCACCGCAAGUCGGUUGUGAAAUCUCCGGGCUUAACCCGGAAAGGUCAAUCGAUACUGCGGGGCUAGAGUGCAGAAGGGGCAACUGGAAUUCUCGGUGUAGCGGUGAAAUGCGUAGAUAUCGAGAGGAACACCUGCGGCGAAGGCGGGUUGCUGGGCUGACACUGACGCUGAAGCGCGAAAGCUAGGGGGAGCGAACGGGG
rnacentral:rRNA from 1 species